rnacentral:lncRNA from 1 species
ACUUUUCGGACAGAAUAGCCCCUAACGCCUGGAUUUCACUGGGAUAAAACUCCAUCCGCUAGGUGAUCUAGCGGAACACUAAAUCAGAAUCAAGAGGUAUAAAGGGAGCUGGAGAGAGAAAAGAUGGAGGAGAAAAGAUGGAGAGAUGGGUAUCUGGAGAGGGAAAGGUUGGUCCAUUGUGGUGAAGAGAGGUCAGUACAGAGUUGUGGAGUGCCGUUUGUGAAAACCCAUUUCAGUCCUCGCCAUUGACACAGAGGUACAAAGGUAUUACAUGAAGAUAAUAGCAGGUUCUCUAUUUUACCAUGUAAUGAGGGUUUGAUUUUUGCCAAAAAGAGGAAGCGUCUGAGGAAGAAGAUAAAGAUAGACUGAGAAUAGUGUUUGGUGUUAGGAUUCUAUACCAAAGACCAAUUGCAAGAAUUUCAGUAACUGUAGUAGGAGUGACCCUUGUGCUCUUUGUACUCAAGUCAUUCCUAUCUACGGCUUUCUUUGUGCUGGUAUGCUUUUCUAUUUCUUGUACCUUAAAUUUUGGGGAAACAAAACUCCAUUUAGUUCUUUAUUGGUGCUUAUUAAGAUUCUCUGGUAUAUCUACUUAUUGUUGCAAUGAUUUAAUAGACACACUUUAUGAUACCUUAAUUUACCAGUACUCUGUAGUUUCAGGAACAAGUAUUAUUUUUUGUGUUUCCAUGUUUCCCGUUGUGACCUAAUACUUGUGCAGUAUGAAUAGUCUCCGAUCAAUUAGCAUCUGUAACUCUAUAAGGUGAACUUGAAAUUUACAGACAACAAACUAUAGGUAAUGGAUAGACAAUGGACGGAUUUUAACUGAAAAAUGUCCAAUGUCUGAAUAAUAUUUAUUUCAUAGGAGAUUCUGGUUCUUCAUUUGUACUUCUUUUCUGGUUCAAUUUGUAAGGAGUUUUUUUCCGGCUUUUGUGGAUGCAUUGAUAUCCAUCAAGCAUUGAUCAUGAAGCAAUUUACCAGACAAACCUGCUCGACUCCCUCAACAUAUUGGUUGAGUGACUUGAGUCACUUCCCUAGGAAAAUCUUAGAUAAAGAAAGUGGAGUACUAGGAGUUACAGAUUUCAAUGUGAUAUAUUUUUUAUGACUAUUGAAUAUGUGACAUAGAACUUAGUUCUGCCACCGUUCCCAUUAAUAAUGUUUAAUGGACAUUCAAUUUCAGUAAAUAGUGUAUUCAAAGUAGAAACAUUUGUUUGAGUGUUAUAGAAACACAUAAAAUUAUUCUGGUUUCCCUUUUUAAAAAAAGUUAUGUAUUUAUACUUCACCAACCCCUGUUGAAUCAAGUGGUAUCAAUACAUCAAUCCUGUAAUUUGAGGUCUGUAUAUUCUCUAAUUAAAAUAUUUUGCUUGUUUAGAUCCCCUUGUGAAUUUGUGGAAUGCUAUGCCAAGUCAGUCGGUACUAUUAAGGAGAUAACUUGUGCUUUCCAUUUGACCGUGAUGGGGCUCAGUUAUUUCACAUUUCUAGCCUUGAACAAGGAUGAAGGCCUGAAAGGGGGAGACGGGGCACCACUUCUACAGAAGACUCCCUUGAAGAAGCAAGAAGAAUAAUGGAGAAGUACAAAUAACAAAAGGUCUAAGAUUAUCCUCACGUAUUCAUCUUUCACAUGAUAUUCCAUUCUUCCUGGUGAGGUAUUGGGUGUGCGCUGAAAGUGAAGAAAUGAAGUUCUUUAGAAGUUUAUGCAUCUUUUUUAUGUUCUGUCACACUUUUUUGUUGCAUUAUAUGUGUCUGUUUAGGAAAAUCUCAAGAGUGAAGAAGUAAGCUGGCUUGAGCUUCAUAUACAUACUCGGGCAUUACUCUUCUGCAAGACCUAUAGCAAUGUGAAUAUAGUUUGAAAUGCCCACGAUGAUCACUAGUGAUUCUGCUGCGGGUUGGGUUGGGUUGCAUUCAUGUAUUUGUAUUGUGUUGAGUUGAUGAUAGAAUCACAUUGGUCAAGCUAGCAUGUAAGAUUGUGAUAAUAUAAGCAUGCAUAUGACCCAAAAACAGAAAANNNNN